GAUGAACGCUGGCGGCGCGCCUAAUACAUGCAAGUCGAGCGAACAGACGAGGAGCUUGCUCCUCUGACGUUAGCGGCGGACGGGUGAGUAACACGUGGAUAACCUACCUAUAAGACUGGGAUAACUUCGGGAAACCGGAGCUAAUACCGGAUAAUAUAUUGAACCGCAUGGUUCAAUAGUGAAAGACGGUUUUGCUGUCACUUAUAGAUGGAUCCGCGCCGCAUUAGCUAGUUGGUAAGGUAACGGCUUACCAAGGCAACGAUGCGUAGCCGACCUGAGAGAGUGAUCGGCCACACUGGAACUGAGACACGGUCGAGACUCCUACGGGAGGCAGCAGUAGGGAAUCUUCCGCAAUGGGCGAAAGCCUGACGGAGCAACGCCGCGUGAGUGAUGAAGGUCUUCGGAUCGUAAAACUCUGUUAUUAGGGAAGAACAAAUGUGUAAGUAACUAUGCACGUAUUGACGGUACCUAAUCAGAAAGCCACGGCUAACUACGUG
rnacentral:rRNA from 1 species